AACGCACAUUGCGCCCGCCAGUAUUCUGGCGGGCAUGCCUGUUCGAGCGUCAUUUCAACCCUCGGCAGCGCCUGACUCCCCAGGAGCGCAGGCGCCGCCGGUGUUGGGGCUCGGGUCCCUGCCGUCCGCGGCGGUCCCGUCCCCUAAAUACAGUGGCAAGCCUACCGUAGCCUACCUGCGUAGUAAUGCACAUCGCAGUCUAGCGCCGCGGCUGGUCAAGGCCGUAAACUCCCUCUCACGAGGACUCUUUACCAAGGUUGACCUCGAAUCAGGUAGGAAUACCCGCUGAACUUAA
rnacentral:misc_RNA from 1 species